rnacentral:piRNA from 1 species
UCAUUUAGUAACCUGUGUUUUGCUUAUGA